CCCUCAGGUUGUCCGGGACCCCGAUUUUGUUCUCCAGGAGCCGAAACUGAAGGCUUUGGAAGCCAGAGGCUGGAGACAGAAAUACGUACCUCUACAGCCGGAGAGGAUGACCAUCCAAUGCUUGUUGGGAGCUGAAAGUGUCGUCCCCAUUUAGGUCAGAGGGCGAGCCGAUGUCAAGUCAUUGGAACCAAGGAAAGUGGAGAUGAUGCCGUUCUGGUCAACCUUU